rnacentral:rRNA from 1 species
CGGCCGCAGUACCCUGACUGUGCUAAGGUAGCAUAAUAAAUUGACUUUUAAUUGAAGUCUAGAAUGAAAGGAGAAACGGAGAAAAUCUGUCUCGUGGUAAAUAAUUUUAAAUUACUUAAAAGGUGAAAAUACCUUUAAUAAAGAAAAUAGACGAGAAGACCCUAAGAAUUUUAAGCAAAACCUUUGUUUGGGGCCUACUUUUUACUGGGGCGGUAAAGGAUCAACAUCUAAACAUCCUUCUUAUUAAACCAAAUACUAUUUUUUCAAGCAAAAUUACCUUAGGGAUAACAGCAUAAUUUUAUUUUAAGUUUGUGACCUCGAUGUUGGACUAGGAAAUUUUUUGAUUAGCCGUCAAAAAAGAAAGUUCUGUUCGAACUUAAUCUCCUAC